rnacentral:rRNA from 1 species
UAAUACGUAGGUGGCAAGCGUUGUCCGGAUUUACUGGGCGUAAAGCGCGUGUAGGCGGCCCGUUUAGUCUGUCGUGAAAUCUCCCGGCUUAACCGGGAUGGGUCGACGGAUACUGGCGAGCUUGAGGGGAGCAGAGGAAGGUGGAAUUCCCGGUGUAGUGGUGAAAUGCGUAGAUAUCGGGAGGAACACCAGUGGCGAAGGCGGCCUUCUGGGCUCUACCUGACGCUGAGACGCGAAAGCGUGGGGAGCGAACCGGAUUAGAUACCCGGGUAGUCCACGCCGUAAACGAUGGAUGCUAGCCGUUGGGGGGUUUACCCUUCAGUGGCGCAGCUAACGCAUUAAGCAUCCCGCCUGGGGAGUACGGUCGCAAGAUUA